AUUGAACGCUGGCGGCAUGCUUUACACAUGCAAGUCGAACGGUAACAGGCCGCAAGGUGCUGACGAGUGGCGCACGGGUGAGUAAUGCAUCGGAACGUGCCCAGUCGUGGGGGAUAACUACUCGAAAGAGUAGCUAAUACCGCAUACGAUCUAUGGAUGAAAGCGGGGGACCGUAAGGCCUCGCGCGAUUGGAGCGGCCGAUGUCAGAUUAGGUAGUUGGUGGGGUAAAGGCUCACCAAGCCAACGAUCUGUAGCUGGUCUGAGAGGACGACCAGCCACACUGGGACUGAGACACGGCCCAGACUCCUACGGGAGGCAGCAGUGGGGAAUUUUGGACAAUGGGCGCAAGCCUGAUCCAGCAAUGCCGCGUGCAGGAAGAAGGCCUUCGGGUUUUAAACUGCUUUUGUACGGAACGAAACGGCUCUGGUUAAUACCCGGGGCUAAUGACGGUACCGUAAGAAUAAGCACCGGCUAACUACGUG
rnacentral:rRNA from 1 species